rnacentral:lncRNA from 1 species
UGUGACCAUGCACCCUAUGUCAUAGGUUUCCCUAUGACACAGGAUUUCUAUGUUUGAACCAGGAAGGUCCCAGGAAGACUUGGACAGUUUGGCCAUCCUUUGCGGGUAUGCAGUUUGCCAUCCUAUGCAGUGCAAAGCUUAGUUACUGGUGAAAAGAAUCAGCUAACUGCAGUGGCACACACUUGGAAUCUCAGCACUCCAGGAGGCUGAAACAGGAGGAUUGCAAGUUUGAACAUCGCCUGUCUCAAAAUAAAAAUGACUCUAUGCAAAGUACCAGAGG